UACGGAGGGGGCAAGCGUUAUUCGGAAUCAUUGGGCGUAAAGGGCGCGUAGGCGGCUUGGCAAGUCGAAGGUGAAAUCCCCCGGCUCAACUGGGGAACUGCCUUCGAAACUGCCAGGCUAGAGUCCGGGAGAGGUUAGUGGAAUUCCCAGUGUAGCGGUGAAAUGCGUAGAUACUGGGAGGAACACCAGUGGCGAAGGCGGCUACCUGGACCGGUACUGACGCUGAGGCGCGAAAGCGUGGGGAGCAAACAGG
rnacentral:rRNA from 1 species